UACGGGGGGGGCAAGCGUUGUUCGGAAUUACUGGGCGUAAAGGGCUCGUAGGGGGCCAACUAAGUCAGACGUGAAAUCCCUCAGCUUAACUGGGGAACUGCGUCUGAUACUGGAUGGCUUGAGAUUGGGAGAGGGGUGCGGAAUUCCAGGUGUAGCGGUGAAAUGCGUAGAUAUCUGGAGGAACACCGGUGGCGAAGGCGGCAUCCUGGACCAACACUGACACUGAGGAGCGAAAGCCAGGGGAGCAAACGGG
rnacentral:rRNA from 1 species